rnacentral:rRNA from 1 species
UACGUAGGUGACAAGCGUUAUCCGGAUUUACUGGGCGUAAAGGGCGUGUAGGCGGCCUUGCAAGUCAGAAGUGAAAUUCUCGGGCUCAACCCGGGCGCUGCUUCUGAAACUGUAGGGCUUGAGUGCUGGAGGGGAUAGCGGAAUUCCUAGUGGAGCGGUAAAAUGCGUAGAUAUUAGGAAGAACACCGGUGGCGAAGGCGGCUAUCUGGACAGUAACUGACGCUGAGGCGCGAAAGCGUGGGGAGCAAAC